AACGAACGCUGGCGGCAUGCCUAACACAUGCAAGUCGAACGAGACCUUCGGGUCUAGUGGCGCACGGGUGCGUAACGCGUGGGAACCUGCCCUUAGGUUCGGAAUAACUCCCCGAAAGGGGUGCUAAUACCGGAUAAUGUCUUCGGACCAAAGAUUUAUCGCCUUUGGAUGGGCCCGCGUUGGAUUAGCUAGUUGGUAGGGUAAAAGCCUACCAAGGCGACGAUCCAUGGCUGGUCUGAGAGGAUGAUCAGCCACACUGGGACUGAGACACGGCCCAGACUCCUACGGGAGGCAGCAGUGGGGAAUAUUGGACAAUGGGCGAAAGCCUGAUCCAGCAAUGCCGCGUGAGUGAUGAAGGCCUUAGGGUUGUAAAGCUCCUUUACCCGGGAUGAUAAUGACAGUACCGGGAGAAUAAGCUCCGGCUAACUCCGUG
rnacentral:rRNA from 1 species